CUCCUGAUGGUUAGCGGCGGACGGGUGAGUAACACGUAGGUAACCUGCCCAUAAGACUGGGAUAACCCACGGAAACGUGAGCUAAUACCAGAUAGGCAUUUUCCUCGCAUGAGGGAAAUGAGAAAGGCGGAGCAAUCUGUCACUUAUGGAUGGACCUGCGGCGCAUUAGCUAGUUGGUGAGGUAACGGCUCACCAAGGCGACGAUGCGUACCCGACCUGAGAGGGUGAUCGGCCACACUGGGACUGAGACACGGCCCAGACUCCUACGGGAGGCAGCAGUAGGGAAUCUUCCGCAAUGGACGAAAGUCUGACGGAGCAACGCCGCGUGAGUGAUGAAGGUUUUCGGAUCGUAAAGCUCUGUUGCCAGGGAAGAACGCCUAGGAGAGUAACUGCUCUUAGGGUGACGGUACCUGAGAAGAAAGCCCCGGCUAACUACGUGCCAGCAGCCGCGGUAAUACGUAGGGGGCGAGCGUUGUCCGGAAUUAUUGGGCGUAAAGCGCGCGCAGGCGGCAAUGUAAGUUGGGUGUUUAAACCUAGGGCUCAACCUUGGGUCGCAUCCAAAACUGCAUAGCUUGAGUACAGAAGAGGAAAGUGGAAUUCCACGUGUAGCGGUGAAAUGCGUAAAGAUGUGGAGGAACACCAGUGGCGAAGGCGACUUU
rnacentral:rRNA from 1 species